GCCUAAGAGGAUAAAGCAAUCGAAUUCAAUAUUGAGAAUUGCCCACCUGUGGUUCCUUUGGCUUCGCAACGUGUUACCGGCAAGCCUCGGUUUGCAUGUAGGAGGUGAAGAACUCUGUUGAGAUCAAUAGAAAAUACCUCAGAUGAAGUAGUGAUUGCUUCCUUUCUGAAAGGCUAAUGGGAGGUUGCUCGCCUACACUUGCAUUGCCGGAUCUCAUGUCAAUGAGCUCUAAUUAGCAGACCAUAGCGCUUAUGCUUCCAUUCUCUGUGAAGAAGAGUCAAAUAGCAGUUGCUUGGUCUCGUCAAAGGCUGACUUCCUUCUCCUUGGUUUACUACCGCGGGCUUGGAUCCUUCCCGUUGAACAACGUCUUCGUGUAAAAGGCCAAGAGAGAUACAAAGCGUACAACGAAAGAAGACAAAAGCAUACCAUUCUGAAAGAAGUGAAAGUUAAUAAAGAAAGCAAUGUUUGAAAUGGCAAAGAAAAGAGAGGAAGUCUUCUACUCCCAAAGAUAACCAGCCAACGCGUGGAGGGAAAGUCAAA
rnacentral:misc_RNA from 1 species